CUACGGGAGGCACCAGUGGGGAAUAUUGCGCAAUGGGAGAAAUCCUGACGCAGCAACGCCGCGUGAACGAAGAAGGCCUUAGGGUUGUAAAGUUCUGUCGUUAGGGAAGAAUAAUAUACAAUAAAUAAUUGUAUAGAUGACGGUACCUAAGGAGGAAGCUCCGGCUAACUACGUGCCAGCAGCCGCGGUAAUACGUAGGGAGCAAGCGUUAUCCGGAAUUACUGGGCGUAAAGGGCGUGUAGGCGGUUUUUUAAGCUAGAUGUUAAAUGUUACAGCUCAACUGUAAACCUGCAUUUAGAACUGAAAGACUAGAGUACGAAAGAGGAAAGUGGAAUUCCUAGUGUAGCGGUGGAAUGCGUAGAUAUUAGGAGGAACACCAGUGGCGAAGGCGACUUUCUGGUUCGUAACUGACGCUGAGGCGCGAAAGCGUGGGUAGCAAACAGGAUUAGAUACCCGCGUAGUC
rnacentral:rRNA from 1 species